GUAUCAACAGUGUAGAUAUAAACUGGUAUCAACAGUGUUCAGGUGGUGUUCAGGUUGGAAGACAGUACAGAUAUAAACUGGUAUCAACAGUGUUCAGGUUGGAAGACAGAACAGAUAUAAACUGGUAUCAACAGUGUUCAGGUUGGGAGACAGUACAGAUAUAAACUGGUAUCAACAGUGUUCAGGUUGGAAGAUUAUUGGGUAGUUUGGUUCAUCAGGCUGACCCACAGUCUUCAUGGAGGAGAUUACUGAGUAGUUGGCCCCCGCGAUAUGUAACUGUUCAGGGAAGUUUGGAACCAAUAUACACAGGCAGUUAGGAAAGCAAAGGCUAGCUUUUUCAACCAGAAUUGUGCAUCCUGUAGCAUAAACUCCAAAAGUUCUGGGACAAAAGUCCAUGGAGAAUAAGAACACCUCCUCCCAGCUGCCCACUGCUCUGAGGCUAGGAAACACUGUCACGAUAAAUCUACCAUAAUUGAGAAUUUCAAUAAGCAUUUUUCUACGGCUGGCCAUGCUUUCCACCUGGCUACCCCUACCCCGGUCAACAGCUCUGCA
ensembl:lncRNA